rnacentral:siRNA from 1 species
UUCCAAGUUAACAGGUUGUACC